UAGAGUUUGAUCCUGGCUCAGGAUGAACGCUAGCGACAGGCUUAACACAUGCAAGUCGAGGGGCAGCGGGGAGGUAGCAAUACUUCCGCCGGCGACCGGCGCACGGGUGAGUAACACGUAUGGAACCUGCCCGUAGCAGGGGGAUAAACGGAAGAAAUUCCGUCUAAUACCGCGUAAUAACUCCGAGAGGCAUCUCAUGGAGUUUAAAGGGUAACACCGGCUACGGAUGGCCAUGCGGCGCAUUAGCUAGUUGGCGGGGUAACGGCCCACCAAGGCGACGAUGCGUAGGGGUUCUGAGAGGAAGGUCCCCCACACUGGUACUGAGACACGGACCAGACUCCUACGGGAGGCAGCAGUGAGGAAUAUUGGUCAAUGGGCGCGAGCCUGAACCAGCCAAGUCGCGUGAGGGAAGACGGUCCUAUGGAUUGUAAACCUCUUUUGUCGGGGAGCAAAAGACGCCACGUGUGGCGUUCCGAGAGUACCCGAAGAAAAAGCAUCGGCUAACUCCGUGCCAGCAGCCGCGGUAAUACGGAGGAUGCGAGCGUUAUCCGGAUUUAUUGGGUUUAAAGGGUGCGCAGGCGGAAGAUCAAGUCAGCGGUAAAAUUGAGAGGCUCAACCUCUUCGAGCCGUUGAAACUGGUUUUCUUGAGUGAGCGAGAAGUAUGCGGAAUGCGUGGUGUAGCGGUGAAAUGCAUAGAUAUCACGCAGAACUCCGAUUGCGAAGGCAGCAUACCGGCGCUCAACUGACGCUCAUGCACGAAAGUGUGGGUAUCGAACAGGAUUAGAUACCCUGGUAGUCCACACAGUAAACGAUGAAUGCUAGUUGUCCGGGGCGAUUGAGUUCUGGGUGACACAGCGAAAGCGUUAAGCAUUCCACCUGGGGAGUACGCCGGCAACGGUGAAACUCAAAGGAAUUGACGGGGGCCCGCACAAGCGGAGGAACAUGUGGUUUAAUUCGAUGAUACGCGAGGAACCUUACCCGGGCUCAAACGCAGGAGGGAUGUUUUUGAAAGGAGGCAGCCAGCAAUGGUCUCCUGCGAGGUGCUGCAUGGUUGUCGUCAGCUCGUGCCGUGAGGUGUCGGCUUAAGUGCCAUAACGAGCGCAACCCCUACCUACAGUUGCCAUCGCGUGAUGGCGGGCACUCUGUGGGGACUGCCUGCGCAAGCAGUGAGGAAGGCGGGGAUGACGUCAAAUCAGCACGGCCCUUACGUCCGGGGCGACACACGUGUUACAAUGGCAGGUACAGCGGGAAGCCACCCGGCGACGGGGCGCGGAACCCGAAAGCCUGUCUCAGUUCGGAUUGGAGUCUGCAACUCGACUCCAUGAAGCUGGAUUCGCUAGUAAUCGCGCAUCAGCCAUGGCGCGGUGAAUACGUUCCCGGGCCUUGUACACACCGCCCGUCAAGCCAUGGAAGCCGGGAGUGCCUGAAGUGUGCAACCGCAAGGAGCGCCCUAAGGUAAAACUGGUGACUGGGGCUAAGUCGUAACAAGGUAACCGUA
rnacentral:rRNA from 1 species